rnacentral:rRNA from 1 species
AACCUCCGCAAUGUGAGAAAUCGCGACGGGGGGAUCCCAAGUGCCAUUCUUAACGGGAUGGCUUUUCUUAAGUGUAAAAAGCUUUUGGAAUAAGAGCUGGGCAAGACCGGUGCCAGCCGCCGCGGUAACACCGGCAGCUCUAGUGGUAGCUGUUUUUAUUGGGCCUAAAGCGUUCGUAGCCGGUUUGAUAAGUCACUGGUGAAAUCCUGUAGCUUAACUGUGGGAAUUGCUGGUGAUACUGUUGAACUUGAGGUCGGGAGAGGUUAGCGGUACUCCCAGGGUAGAGGUGAAAUUCUGUAAUCCUGGGAGGACCACCUGUGGCGAAGGCGGCUAACUGGAACGAACCUGACGGUGAGGGACGAAAGCUAGGGGCGCGAACCGGAUUAGAUACCCGGGUAGUCCUAGCCGUAAACGAUGCGGACUUGGUGUUGGGAUGGCUUUGAGCCGCUCCGGUGCCGAAGGGAAGCUGUUAAGUCCGCCGCCUGGGAGUACGUCGCAAGACUGAAACUUAAAGGAAUU